rnacentral:rRNA from 1 species
UACGGGGGGGGCAAGCGUUGUUCGGAAUUACUGGGGGUAAAGGGCGCGUAGGCGGUUUGUUAAGUUUAAUGUGAAAACUCUGGGCUUAACCCAGAGCCUGCAUUCAAUACUGGCAGGCUAGAGUUCUGGAGGGGAUAGCGGAAUUCCUGGUGUAGCGGUGAAAUGCGUAGAUAUCAGGAGGAACACCGGUGGCGAAGGCGGCUAUCUGGACAGAGUCUGACGCUGAGGCGCGAAAGCUAGGGGAGCAAACAGG